rnacentral:rRNA from 1 species
GCAAGUCGAGCGAUGAAACUUCUUCGGAAGUGGAUUAGCGGCGGACGGGUGAGUAACACGUGGGCAACCUGCCCUAUAGAGGGGAAUAGCCUUCCGAAAGGAAGAUUAAUACCCCAUAAGAUUGUAGCUUCACAUGGAGCAGCAAUUAAAGGAGCAAUCCGCUAUAGGAUGGGCCCGCGGCGCAUUAGCUAGUUGGUGAGGUAACGGCUCACCAAGGCGACGAUGUGUAGCCGACCUGAGAGGGUGAUCGGCCACAUUGGGACUGAGACACGGCCCAGACUCCUACGGGGGGCAGCAGUGGGGAAUAUUGCACAAUGGGGGAAACCCUGAUGCAGCAACGCCGCGUGAGUGAUGAAGGCCUUCGGGUUGUAAAGCUCUGUCUUUGGGGACGAUAAUGACGGUACCCAAGGAGGAAGCCACGGCUAACUACGUGCCAGCAGCCGCGGUAAUACGUAGGUGGCAAGCGUUGUCCGGAUUUACUGGGCGUAAAGGGAGCGUAGGCGGACUUUUAAGUGGGAUGUGAAAUACUCGGGCUCAACCUGAGUGCUGCAUUCCCAACUGGAAGUCUAGAGUGCAGGAGGGGAAAGUGGAAUUCCUAGUGUAGCGGUGAAAUGCGUAGAUAUUAGGAAGAGCACCGGUGGCGAAGGCGACUUUCUGGACUGUAACUGACGCUGAGGCUCGAAAGCGUGGGGAGCGAACAGGAUUAGAUACCCUGGUAGUCCACGCCGU